AACGAACGCUGGCGGCAGGCCUAACACAUGCAAGUCGAACGCUGUAGCAAUACAGAGUGGCAGACGGGUGAGUAACACGUGGGAAUCUUCCUAUCGGUACGGAAUAGCUCAGGGAAACUUGGGGUAAUACCGCAUACGCCCUUCGGGGGAAAGAUUUAUCGCCGAUAGAUGAGCCCGCGUCUGAUUAGCUAGGUGGUGAGGUAAUGGCUCACCAAGGCGACGAUCAGUAGCUGGUCUGAGAGGAUGACCAGCCACACUGGGACUGAGACACGGCCCAGACUCCUACGGGAGGCAGCAGUGGGGAAUAUUGGACAAUGGGCGCAAGCCUGAUCCAGCCAUGCCGCGUGAGUGACGAAGGUCUUCGGAUUGUAAAGCUCUUUUGGCGGGGACGAUAAUGACGGUACCCGCAGAAUAAGCCCCGGCUAACUCUGUGCCAGCCGCCGCAGUAA
rnacentral:rRNA from 1 species